UGUUGGGGAGGUCGGCGCUGAGGAGGAGGAGGAGCCGGGGCGGCCGCUGGCUUCAGGAUCAAGGAGCGGACUUGGUGAUAUUUUCAUCCAUUCUUCUUUGAAAGAAUCUAUGAGGGUGUAAGUCAAACGAGCCAAACCUCGCUUCUUCCACAGCAGCGGGAGAGAAAGGACUAGUGGGAAGCUUUCCUGGCACCAAUGGCUAACGCGGAGAGGGAGUCUGCACUCUGGGCAAGAGGGAGAGACUGCAACAGGACACAUCUUCCUUGCCAGAUGACACUCUUAAACAUUUGAUUCCACUUCCAUGCAUUCUCCUUUUGAAAUACUUAAGAAGAUGGAAGGACAAGCAGGAGGCAGAUAAGGUCUAAGAGGGAUCAUUAAGAUCACCACAUCUGUCAGCAGCUGUAUCUACUCCCGAGGGAGAAUGCAUUCAAUGUCUUGUCUUGAAGUUACAAGGAAAACCAAGAAUGGAUGCUUCAUGCCAACUUCCAUUGUUUUGUUCCUUCCUCUGAAUACAAGAGGCAUAUUUUUCUAAGUUCUUUUCUAAGUAUUGCAUGCUCAAGUCAGUGAGCCCAACAGGGAGGGUUAGAUAGGAACAGGGGAACUUGUUACCCCAAUGGCUCUAGUUCCCCAAGCUAACUCAGAAAAGUCCGUGGAAAGAGGUAUAUGUUAGUAUAGAUCAUUAUUAAAAUCAAGUAUGACACAAUUUCUGCCUAAUUUCUCAUAUUGCUUGUACCCAAACGGAAACGCUCACCAUAAUUAAAGUUGCCCAAAUUGCUGCUAUAUUUCCCACUAGGAGGAUUAUAUAUCUGCCUGGCAUCCCUUUUUGGUCCUGCUGGAGAUUUCUUGGGUGGUGAACCGGAAGUUGUAUCUUCAUUGGCUCUCUUUUGCCUACAAUGGUUAGAACAUUGAAGUGUUAUCACCAUUUAUCUGAAAAAAUGAGUGAAGGACAGCUCAUAUUCACAUAGGGGUUGUUUUAAAAGUCAUCAGCUUAAGUUACGGGAAGACAUAAUGAAAGCUUACUAUCUCAUUAGAACUGGGAUGAAGACUGAUCAGAACAGGUGAGGUCGGAGAAAUGCAAAAAUCCCAACACAAAGACACAUAUAGUUUGGUACAGAAUUGGCAAUUUAAUCUUUUUUUCAAUGUAAAUUGGUAUUUGGUUUUCAAAAAGGUAAAAAUUAAAAUAUCCCAAACAUCAAUUAAAUAUUUGAACAAAAUGUACUAAGAAGAGCCUAGUGAAAGACUGGUAUGUAUCUAAGUUUGGUAACACUCCACAAACUUGGAAAUACUUGAAAUAUUUCAACAAGGAUAAAAAUAUAGCUUAGCAAAUAAAUAGGCAGAAACUCUUCUAACAUCAUUCUGUAUCUUCAACAAAGACUUGUAUUACCAGUUCAAAUACAGUCAAAUGUUACAUUUCAACAUAAGAAUCGAGCCUGGAUAUGUACUACGUGCUGGCUAUUAUAAAACAUUUCCUUAUAAGAUGUGACCCAGUAUUCUUACCUCUUCUGUUUUUAAGGCCUCGCCUGUUUUACCCUGCAGAGCCAAGCGAAGUUGUCGGAUAUAAACCUGCAGACCCCGUGCAAAGUACUGCAGCCUAAAUAAACAAGCAUUGGCUAAUUAGCAAAUCACUUCGUCAACUUUGCUUUUAAACAGAGAAUCUUCUACUACAGCUAAAUGUUCUUAACUAGUAAAGAUAAUUUUUAAAGGAAUUUUAAAAAUUAUCAAUAUAUGAUCACAAGAGAUACAUAAAUAAGUGAAAUAAAAGCAGUUUUCCUUUACCAAAAAUGCGAGUAAAUCCAUACUCAACCUGGCCAGGGAAAGAUUUGUAACACUGUUCUUGUUAUGUCAAAAUGCAAGGCAUGGUCAGAGUGAACCAACUUCAGGAGCCACGGAUAAGAAUCAGGUGGCCUGGGUUCUACUCUUUCAGUGGCCAACUGAAGGUCAAGUGACCUUAGACAAGUCACUUUAACCUCUAUGUAUUUAUCUGCUAACAAGGGAUGUGUUUGACCCUCAAGGUCUAGUUAAAAAUAAAACCAAACCGCAGAUUGGAGAAUUUAUUAUAAACACAUAUAAAUCUCAAAGACUUCAAAGUAAUACUUUUUUCAAGUCAAGGCAGUAUAUAGCCUUCCAGGAAACUCUGCUUAAUAACCUGGCAUCAUUUUUUAAUUUUUGGAGUAAUUUCUUAACUUGCUGCUUCUGAUCAAAUGUUUUACCAAGUAUUAAACCAUUGUCUUACCAAAGAGUAGAGGAUGGUAACAGAUGAUGCAAGUGGCCA